rnacentral:rRNA from 1 species
AGUCGAACGGCAGCACGGACUUCUGGUCUGGUGGCGAGUGGCGAACGGGUGAGUAAUGUAUCGGAACGCCUUAGUAGUGGGGAUAACUACGCGAAAGCGUAGCUAAUACCGUACAUUGCCCUUCGGGGAAAGCGGGGACCUUCGGGCCUCGCACUAUUAGAGCGGCCGAGUUAUCGAUUAGCUAGUUGGUGGGUGAACGGCUCACCAAGGCGACGAUCCGUAGCUGGUUUGAGAGGACGACCAGCCACACCGGGACUGGAGACACGGCCCAGACUCCUACGGAGGCAGCAGUGGGGGAAUUUUGGACAAUGGGGGAAAACCCUGAUCCAGCCAUCCUGCGUGUGCGAUGCUGAAGGCCUUCGGUUGUAAAGCACUUUUGGCAGGAAAGAAACGGCACGGAUAAUACCCCGUGCAACUGACGGUACCUGCAGAAUAAGCACCGGGCUAACUACGUGCCAGCAGCCGCGGUAAUACGUAGGGUGCAAGCGUUAAUCGGACCACUGGCGUAAAGCGUGCGCAGGCGGUUCGAAAGAUGAAAUCCCAGAGCUUAACUUUUGAACUGCAUUUUUAACUACUGAGCUAGAGGUGUCGAGGGAGGUAAAUUCCGCGUAGCAGCAAAUGUAGAUAUGCGGAGGAACACCGAUGGCGAAGGCAGCUUCCUGGGAUAACACUUACGCUCAUGCACGAAAGCGUGGGAGCAAACAAGGAUUAGAUAAUUUCUGGUAGUUCACGCCCCAAACGAUGUCAACUAGCUGUUGGGGCCGGGCCUUAGCAGCGCAGCUAACGCGUGAAGUUGACCUACCUGGGGAGUACGGUCGCAAGAUUAAAACUCAAAGGAAUUGACAAUCUCGCACAAGCGGUGGAUGAUGUGGAUUAAUUCUGAUGCAACGCGAAAAACCUUACCUGGCCUUGACAUGUCUGGAACCAGCGAGAUUUGUAUGCUCGCAAGAAACCGGAACACAGGUGCUGGCAUGGCUGUCGUCACCGUGUCGUGAGAUGCUGGGUUAAGUCCCGCAACGAGCGCAACCUUGUCAUUAGUUGCUACGAAAGGGCACUCUAUCGAGAUCGCCAGACAAACCGGAGGAAGGUGGGGAUGACGUCAAGUCUCGCGGCCUUUAUGUGGUAGGGUCAGUUAUCAAGUACAAUGGUCGUGACAGAGGUCGCCAACCCGCGAGGGAGCCAAUCCCAGAAACCCGAUCGUAGUCCGGAUCGCAGUCUGCACUCGACUCGGUAAGUCGGAACUGCUAGUAAUCGCGGAUCAGCAUGUCGCGGGUGAAUACGUUCCCGGGGUCUUGUACACACCGCCCGUCACACCAUGGGAGUGGCCUUUACCAGAAGUAGCAGCUCAACCGUAAGGAGGCGAUUGCCACGUAGAUUCAAGACUGGGUGAAGUCGUAACAAGGUAG